GAUCCUGGCUCAGGAUGAACGCUGGCGGCGUGCUUAACACAUGCAAGUCGAACGGACUUUACAUGAAGCCUAGCGAAUGUAAAGUUAGUGGCGGACGGGUGAGUAACGCGUGGGUAACCUGCCGUAUGCCGGGGGACAACAGUUGGAAACGACUGCUAAUACCGCAUAAGCGCACAGAUAGGCAUCUAUCAGUGUGAAAAAACUCCGGUGGCAUACGAUGGACCCGCGUCUGAUUAGGCAGUUGGCGGUGUAACGGACCACCAAACCGACGAUCAGUAGCCGGCCUGAGAGGGUGAACGGCCACAUUGGGACUGAGACACGGCCCAAACUCCUACGGGAGGCAGCAGUGGGGAAUAUUGCACAAUGGGGGAAACCCUGAUGCAAGCGACGCCGCGUGAGUGAAGAAGUAUUUCGGUAUGUAAAGCUCUAUCAGCAGGAAAGAAAAUGACGGUACCUGACUAAGAAGCCCCGGCUAACUACGUGCCAGCAGCUGC
rnacentral:rRNA from 1 species